UUNNNACGACCGCUGGCGGCAGGCCUAACACAUGCCAGUCGAGCGCGCCCUUCGGGGUGAGCGGCGGACGGGUUAGUAACGCGUGGGAACGUGCCCUUUGGUACGGAAUAGCCUCUGGAAACGGGGAGUAAUACCGUAUGAGCCCUUCGGGGGAAAGAUUUAUCGCCAAAGGAUCGGCCCGCGUUAGAUUAGGUAGUUGGUGGGGUAAUGGCCUACCAAGCCUACGAUCUAUAGCUGGUUUUAGAGGAUGAUCAGCAACACUGGGACUGAGACACGGCCCAGACUCCUACGGGAGGCAGCAGUGGGGAAUCUUGGACAAUGGGGGCAACCCUGAUCCAGCCAUGCCGCGUGAGUGAUGAAGGCCUUAGGGUCGUAAAGCUCUUUCGCCUGUGAAGAUAAUGACGGUAGCAGGUAAAGAAACCCCGGCUAACUCCGUGCCAGCAGCCGCGGUAAUACGGAGGGGGUUAGCGUUGUUCGGAAUUACUGGGCGUAAAGCGCACGUAGGCGGACCAAAAAGUUGGGGGUGAAAUCCCGGGGCUCAACCCCGGAACUGCCUCCAAAACUGUUGGUCUAGAGU
rnacentral:rRNA from 1 species